AGGCACGUAGCUCAGUUGGUUAGAGCACCACCUUGACAUGGUGGGGGUCGUUGGUUCGAGYCCAAUCGCGCCUACCA
rnacentral:tRNA from 1 species